UAUAGUAUGAUACUCAUCCAGUUGGGACUCUGAGGCUCAUCCUGUCGGACCCUGACAAGGAUUUUUUCCAUGAUGAGCCACCACCUGAAUGCUGUGUCAAUAAAAGUAAGGGGCCGAUUACAUGGAGCAUUUUCAACCCCGGGUUGAACUCAGCCCUGUUUACUGGGUUGAAAUUUCAGCCCUGUCUGUAAUACAAAACUCUAUCAAAAUCAAACGUGCGAUUACAUGACAAAAUUUUCAACCCAGGGCCAAGUUCAACCCCGGGGUUGAAAUUUUAACCCUGCUUCAGCUAGCAGGGUUGAAAUUUGAACCCCGGGAUUGAACUCAGCCCUGGGUUGAAAAGUUUGUCAUGUAAUCAUUUCAACCCAAGGCUGAAAUUAUUCAUGAGUUAUUCGAGCAUGCGUGGUAGUGACUAUUUAUUACAAGAAAACAAAAUGAGGGCUUUUUUACUUCUGGAAUCAAUGCCGAGAACGUAUAGUAUAGCGUUUCAACCCCCGGGUUGAAAUCGUCCAUGUAAUCGCAAAAAAAUUUCAACAGGGCUGAGUUCAACCCCGGGGUUGAAAGUUCUCCAUGUAAUCGGCCCCUUAGGUUGGUUUGUUUCUUACUAAUGUACGUUGAGUAUGAUGAAACUGCAUCUUUGGAAUAUACCUCAUGGUUAUACCUAAAAUAUACUUCAGUGGUUUCACAUUGUCGUGUUCACCAUAUAAAAUUAUAGCACCAUUAUUAAUUUUCUAUUAGUCCUCACAAAUAAAACAUCCCCUCUCUAGGUCCUCUAUUUUGACAAAUAAAUUUAUCAAAUUAAUCCCUAUAUUGAACCCCAUGAACCCCCUUUUUCCCUUAUAAUAACAAUAAGAACACAUAAACGUGUACACAUUAGUUACUGCCUUUUAGGUAAAUCAAUUCUUGGGUUUCAAUUAUGUGAUAUUUUAGCAUAAUCUGAGUGGGGGUCAGUCAUUGAUAAGGACACAUCUAACAUGUUUGUGUGAUGUUACUCUGAGUGUAUAUCCACACCGGGCAGGCUUGAAAAAUAUGCCUGGCCACGGCGGGAUUCGAACCUACGACCUUUGGAAUACUAGCCCAAUGCUCUUCCAUCUGAGCUACGCGGUCAGGUCGGUUCGAGUGUGCGAUAUUUCGGAACAAAGUCACUUAGUUCCUUCGAUAUCAGUGUAAUCUAUAUAAUAAUCAUGAAAUCUAUAUAAUAAUCAUGAAAUCUGCUGUGUUGGUGUAAUGUACUGUACUCAGGUGACAUCACAGAGUAGAGACAUACAGAGCCGUAACUGACCGUCGUGAACACUGCGGAAGCUUACGUUUUCAUGUACCCACUUUUUUCAGUGCAAAAGAUCGGGCAAAAAAUGAUCAACUGCGCGUGCUCAGUAAGUUUAAAGUGAGUCGUCAUCAGGUCAUCAUCCAAUCAGUUGCAUGCAUCUAGUAACUUGCCGAGCAUGCGCACAAAAAAAGUGGGUACACUAGUUACAACUCUGUAUGUCUCUCCUCUGUGCUCCCAUGCAAUAGUUUUUGUAGUAAUCAACGGUAGGGUUUAAUUAAAUUAAAUAAUUUAAAAUCCUAUUCGUAUCAUAAUCUUAGCUCAGUUAACUAUAAAAUUGCUUAAAUUCCACCCACCCCACCCCUCAAUGAUGUUGCACCACUUUAUCAUAGCUUAGUAAAAAAAACAAAAAACAAAAAAAACCCAAAAAAACAAAAAAAAACCCAAAAAAACAAAAAAAACAAACUGUAUUAUAGCCUGUUGUUAUAUUGCAUGGGUCAUUAUCAAGACAGACUAGCAUGGAUGCAAUGCUCGCAGCGUUUACUGAACAGUAGAAUAGUUACUACUUCUAAAAUAUGUGGUCGGUUUUGGAGAAUAAAAAAUUUGGUUUUGGGGAUGGAGUGCUCCCAUAGGUCACCCUCAUCCCAUAGACUCACAAAUCGAUGUACCAUACAUUAAAAAUGUUAGAUUGAAGUAUAAAAUGCCCAACAUGGGGACCCAGACCCCCUGAGGGCAUUAAUUGCAUUAGAGUCCAACAUGGGGACCCAAACCCUCUGAGGACCGCCCAACAUGGGGACCCAAACCCCCUGAGGGCAGUAAUUACACUAGAGUCCAACAUGGGGACCCAAACCCCCUGAGGAUUGCCCAACAUGGGGACCAAAACCCCCUGAGGGCAUUAAUUACACUAGAGUCCAACAUGGGGACCCAGACCCCCUGAGGACAGCCCAAUAUGGGGACCCAGACCCCCCGAGGGCAUUAAUUAGAGUAACUGUGAGUCUGUGGGGUGACACUUUGACCAGUUGAAAGUAUAUAUUCGGAGCAUUUCUCCCCAACAACCCUUCUCCCACAACAUUGUGUGUGCUUUACUGUCUCAUAUAUAGCUCUCUUAAAUAUUAACUAACCGAAUUGAGGCAUUAAUUUACGAUAACUUUUACGAUAUUUUUAAUUACCGUCAUUAAUUCUUCACUAAAACGUUUGUUGGCACUUUUUUGUUGGAUUCUAAUUAUUUUUGAAUAAUGUAUGUAAACUAUUUGUUUUGUAUUUAAUUCACUUAAAAAUUCGUUAAAAUUGAUCUAUUUUCAGUAUUUUGGUGUCAUAUGAAACAAAUAAUGAAUGUUUUCAUUCGUGCAACAGUAAAACUACUCCACUCGGCUGUCGCCUCGUGCAUGGAAAAUUCCAUCUUUCACCUCAUGAAAAUAUUUUUGCAUUCCACUCGUAAACAUUCAUUAUUUGUAUAAUAUUUUAUGAAUUUUCAGCCUCUGAUGGUAAAUGUAUAUCUCAGUGUCAUUACAUGGAUGCACAGGAAUUGUCAUGGCCUAUACAGUCUCGCACUCUUAGUAUGAUGACUUUUUGUAAAGAAAGAUGGCAGAGUAAUCAGCAAUCAGUUAAUCACCCUGAAGAAUUUAUAACAUUGAGGUAUAUAGGUUUAUAAUUUCAGAAAAACGAAU